UGGGGAAUAUUGCGCAAUGGACGAAAGUCUGACGCAGCGACGCCUCGUGAGGGACGAAGGUCUUCGGAUUGUAAACCUCUUUCAGCAGGGACGAAGCGAAAGUGACGGUACCUGCAGAAGAAGCACCGGCUAACUAUGUGCCAGCAGCCGCGGUAAUACAUAGGGUGCAAGCGUUGUCCGGAUUUAUUGGGCGUAAAGAGUUCGUAGGCGGUUUUUCGCGUCGGAUGGGAAAACUCAGGGCUCAACCCU
rnacentral:rRNA from 1 species